rnacentral:rRNA from 1 species
AUUGAACGCUGGCGGCAGGCCUAACACAUGCAAGUCGAGCGGAGCGGCGGACGGGUGCGUAAUGCUUAUGAAUCUGCCUGGUAGCGGGGGCUAACGUUCGGAACCGGGCGCUAAUACCGCAUCCUAUCAGAUGAGCCUAGGUCGGAUUAGGUAGUUGGUGGGGUAAAGGCCUACCAAGGCGACGAUCCGUAACUGGUUUGAGAGGAGGAUCAGUCACACUGGAACUGAGACACGGUCCAGACUCCUACGGGAGGCAGCAGUGGGGAAUAUUGGACAAUGGGCGAAAGCCUGAUCCAGCCAUGCCGCGUGUAUGAAGAAGGUCUUCGGGUUGUAAAGUACUUUAAGUUGGGAGGCGUUACCAGCAGAAUAAGCACCGGCUAACUACGUGCCAGCAGCCGCGGUAAUAC